rnacentral:rRNA from 1 species
CCUACGGGUGGCAGCAGUGAGGAAUAUUGGUCAAUGGGCGGGAGCCUGAACCAGCCAAGCCGCGUGAAGGAUGACUGCCCUCCGGGUUGUAAACUUCUUUUAUAAAGGAAUAAAGUGAGGCACGUGUCCCCUUUUGUAUGUACUUUAUGAAUAAGGAUCGGCUAACUCCGUGCCAGCAGCCGCGGUAAUACGGAGGAUCCGAGCGUUAUCCGGAUUUAUUGGGUUUAAAGGGUGCGUAGGUGGGUUGUUAAGUCAGUUGUGAAAGUUUGCGGCUCAACCGUCAAAUUGCAAUUGAUACUGGCAGUCUUGAGUACAGUUGAGGUAGGCGGAAUGCGUGGUGUAGCGGUGAAAUGCUUAGAUAUCACGAAGAACUCCGAUUGCGAAGGCAGCUUACUAAACUGCCACUGACGUUGAUGCACGAAAGUGUGGGUAUCAAACAGGAUUAGAUACCCGUGUAGUC